rnacentral:rRNA from 1 species
CCCUCAGCCUGGUUGGUAAUCAGGUGGUGAGUGUAAGUGCACAAGGGAGCUUGACUGUGAGACCGACGGGUCGAGCAGGGACGAAAGUCGGGACUAGUGAUCCGGCGGUGGCUUGUGGAAGCGCCGUCGCUCAACGGAUAAAAGGUACCCCGGGGAUAACAGGCUGAUCUUCCCCAAGAGUCCAUAUCGACGGGAUGGUUUGGCACCUCGAUGUCGGCUCGUCGCAUCCUGGGGCUGGAGUCGGUCCCAAGGGUUGGGCUGUUCGCCCAUUAAAGCGGUACGCGAGCUGGGUUUAGAACGUCGUGAGACAGUUCGGUCCCUAUCCGCUGCGCGCGUAGGAGUCUUGAGAAGGGCUGUCCCUAGUACGAGAGGACCGGGACGGACGAACCUCUGGUGUGCCAGUUGUUCUGCCAAGGGCAUGGCUGGUUGGCUACGUUCGGGAGGGAUAACCGCUGAAAGCAUCUAAGCGGGAAGCCUGCUUCGAGAUGAGGACUCCCACCCACUUGAUGGGGUAAGGCUCCCAGUAGACGACUGGGUUGAUAGGCCGGAUCUGGAAGCCAGGUAACUGGUGGAGGUGACCGGUACUAAUAGGCCGAGGGCUUGUCCUCAGUUG